UUUGGAGUAGGGUGGUGGAAAGAGGAAUUAAAGGACUCUGUGAAGUGGGCGUGCUGGGCUGACCGUCCUAAAGCCCCCAGGCAGAGGAAACCGGAAGCCGGUGGAGGCCUCUGUUCCGGUAGGGACCGAGCGCUGAGAGUGCGCAUGCGUCGCCGAGACGGCGGGCGACAGACCGCCCGUGGGUCCAGUUGCAGGAGCGUCUGUUUUCAGACCAGGAACCCAGUGACUAAGGGAGAAAUCAAGCCCCCGGGGAGAAGCCUGUAACAGCAAAGCAAGUCUAUCUGGAGGGGCACGCCAGAAUCCCGGAGGAAUGGCUCCCUGGACAUCUAUGAAAAAAUGGAGCCCAGUCAUGGCAGGGAUGGUUGUGCCAGAUAGUUCCUGCACCACCAGAUCCCCCUUCUGUAAGAAAGCACUUAUUCCCCCAGCUUCUGGGAGUGUUGCCCGCAGAAAGCCUGUAGCCAUCAGCUCCCAUCAGAGAAUGCCUCGGGGAAGAGAGGCGCCUCGUCCAAGUUUGCACCCCUCGUCCAAGCGCCAAUAUGGUGGCCUGGAUGCCCAGCACGCUUGCCUCAGACCUCCUGCAAUAAUCUCCACUUUAGAGGGGGCUUCCCAAGGAGCACACCCCGCAGCAGAGCAUGGGGGGAAGCACGGAAAUAGGGUUGGAGGAGAGGGGGCCAGUCCGCACAUGUCAUCUUUGCUCAGACGCUGGCGAGGAUGGUGUUCUUUCUCUUCUCUUAGAGCAAAGGGACAACUUGGCAAGGAUUAAGCAAGCAGUUCUAUGCUCUUUUGCAAAGAUCCCUCUUGCUGGCACCAGGACAAUAAAUUGUGAGGUCGAGAUUGACACGAGACCGGAAGUGUCGUGCUGCAAGCAGCCAGGUGAGCGAUCCGAUGAGACCCGUGGGUGGGUGUGAGGAGCAACUGGACAGCCCCUGGUGAAGGGUGGAGAUGGGAGAUGGAGAAAGAGGGGCAAGGAGAAGGGGUUCCCCCAGCCGUGCCAGGGUCUCGCUUGCACGGCUGAGUGGCAGAGCAAGAUGGGAACACUGGGAGGAGGCCAGGUUUGGGGGCGGGGGCAGGAUCAUGAGUCUGAGUCAGGAUAGGUUGAGUCUGGGGAAGCUUCGGAGGCAUCCCCAGCGGAAGCAUCACGUGGGCCAGACCUGUAGCAGGUGGGGCGGGAAGCAUCAAGUAGGGGAGCUUUGCAUCUGUGAGUCAUUGACCCCACGGUGCUAUGUGAGAUUGUGGAGGGAGCAAGUGUGAGAGGAGGAGAGGAGGCCUGGGCAUGGCCAGAUGGGGGGAUGGGCCAGCAAACAAAAUUGAGAAGCAGGGAGCUGAGCAAGAGGGAGAAGAAAUAGGGGCACGUUGGGU